rnacentral:rRNA from 1 species
CAGCAGCCGCGGUAAUACCGGCGGCCCGAGUGGCGGUCACUCUUAUUGGGCUUAAAGCGUCCGUAGCCGGGUUGGGAAGUCCUCCGGGAAAUCUGGCCGCUUAACGGUCAGAAUGCCGGAGGAUACUCCCAGCCUAGGGGGCGGGAGAGGCCGAGGGGAUUCCCGGAGUAGGGGUGAAAUCCUAUAAUCCCGGGAGGGCCACCUGUGGCGAAGGCGCUCGGCUGGAACGCGUCCGACGGUGAGGGACGAAGGCCAGGGGAGCAAACCGGAUUAGAUACCCGGGUAGUCCUGGCUGUAAACGAUGCGGACUUUGUGUCGGACAAGCUAUGAGCUUGUCCGGUGCCGGAGGGAAACCGUUAAGUCCGCCGCCUGGGGAGUACGGCCGCAAGGCUGAAACUUAAAGGAAUUGGCGGG